rnacentral:rRNA from 1 species
AUUGAACGCUGGCGGAAUGCUUUACACAUGCAAGUCGGGCGGCAGCGCGGGGGCAACCCUGCGGCGAGCGGCGAACGGGUGAGUAAUACAUCGGAACGUGUCCUUGAGUGGGGGAUAGCUCGGCGAAAGCCGGAUUAAUACCGCAUAAGCUCUGAGGAGGAAAGCGGGGGACUGGUAACGGCCUCGCGCUGUUGGAGCGGCCGAUGUCGGAUUAGCUAGUUGGUGGGGAAAGGCCCACCAAGGCGACGAUCCGUAGCUGGUCUGAGAGGAUGAUCAGCCACACUGGAACUGAGACACGGUCCAGACUCCUACGGGAGGCAGCAGUGGGGAAUUUUGGACAAUGGGGGCAACCCUGAUCCAGCCAUUCCGCGUGAGUGAAGAAGGCCU